rnacentral:misc_RNA from 1 species
CCCAACCUAUCAGACAUGGUAGCUAUAGUUUUAAACGCCAAAAUCAACCCCCGAUCCGGAUUGGAGCCUCUAUUCUGCCAACGACCCAAUGAAGAUGAAAGGAACUCGCCGGAAGCGCCAUUAGGCUUUGCUAUCACGGUGGAAAGGCCACCGUCAGCCAAGAGAGGAUUGGUAGGGCCACCUACACGGACGGGAUCAUUAUCAGCAGACUCAUUAGCAAAAGUUCUCCACUCGGA